rnacentral:lncRNA from 1 species
GCACGCCCCAGAGGUGAGGCAGGGCCAGGAGUGUCCCCUGAAGGCAGCCAGAUACCAGAAGCCACCUUGCCUUCCAUGGGCCAAGGAAAGACUCUACCACUGGGCUCCAUGGCUGAUGGCAGGACCUAGCACACCACUCAUGCCAAAGGAAGGAAGCCCAACCUCUGCCUUCAGAAGACUACGGUCAUCAAGCACCACCAGCUGCUGUCUGAGUCAGGGCUGCUGAAAUCUGAGCCCAUCCACAGGCACCACAUGUGGAUCCAGAUCCUACAGGCCUGGGCCACUGCCACCAAGAUGCGGUGGGACUCAAAGCACAAGUGGGUCGACCCUGUGUGCUGUUGUGUGGCACAAGUUGGGUGAACUCCCAAAGGUGCCUCUUGGCCCAGCCUCUGGCCUCAGCUCUGUCUCACACCCGUGGAGCAGGCAGUAGCUAAGAUGUUCCUGUGUCAGGCCCUGCUCCCUGAGGGUUUCUGCCAGGGCUGCCCACAGGCAGCUUGUCUGCCGGACCACCAGUCUGGCCUGUAGAAAGGUGGCCCUGCCUUAACUGCCUAGCGUGUACCUUCCUUCUAGGCGACCGGCUCUUGCCUUUUCUCCUCACUGUCCUCACUACCUCUGUAACCAUCUGGAAUGUUCUUAUUCAGUCGUUCUCUGCUCCAGUCACUCGUUCACUUGUCCACCCAUCCAUCUGCUCACCUCAAGAUGCUUUCAAGAUCGGUGACACUUGUGACUGACUGACCGCCUUGCUAGCUCUCAGCUCUUCCAACGUCUUACCCAGUUCUGGACAGAACUGAGUGGAGACAGAGUUCCCUGCUGGGACCUCAGUCACUUGGGCUAUGAUAUAAGAUACACGUUGGCACACAGCUAAGACACAGCCCCCUUCACACAGGGCUCUAACAUGCUAGCCCCAUCUGAUGUACCGAUACUGUUCUGACCCAUCUCUGCCACACAGAAUGCUCAGUAACUUCUGAUUUAUCCUCAGAGCUGGGGUGUGAAACAUGCAGUGCUGCCAGUUACUUUUAAAAAACGAGAUGGGGCCUCACUGCGUGCUGCAGGCUGGCCCAAACUCCUGGGUUCAGGUGACCCUCUCUCCGCAGCCACCCAGGAGUGGGAGGAACAGGUGUGAGAGAUACUGUGCUGGCCCUGCAUGCUUAUCAUCCUUAGCAGAGAUGUCCUUCCUGGCAGGCCCAUCACUGCAGCGUUGGGUGGGUGCAAG